rnacentral:rRNA from 1 species
UACGUAGGGGGCUAGCGUUGUCCGGAAUCAUUGGGCGUAAAGAGCGUGUAGGCGGUCCGGUAAGUCCGCUGUGAAAGUCGGGGGCUCAACCCUCGAAUGCCGGUGGAUACUGUCGGGCUAGAGUGCGGAAGAGGCGAGUGGAAUUCCUGGUGUAGCGGUGAAAUGCGUAGAUAUCAGGAGGAACACCGGUGGCGAAGGCGGGUCUCUGGGCAACAACUGACGCUGAGGAGCGAAAGCGUGGGGAGCGAACAGG